rnacentral:rRNA from 1 species
UACGUAGGGCGCAAGCGUUGUCCGGAAUUAUUGGGCGUAAAGAGCUCGUAGGCGGUUUGUCGCGUCUGCUGUGAAAACCUAAGGCUCAACCUUGGGCUUGCAGUGGGUACGGGCAGACUAGAGUGCGGUAGGGGUGACUGGAAUUCCUGGUGUAGCGGUGGAAUGCGCAGAUAUCAGGAGGAACACCGAUGGCGAAGGCAGGUCACUGGGCCGCAACUGACGCUGAGGAGCGAAAGCGUGGGGAGCGAACAGG